ACGGAAGGCAGCAGUGGGGAAUAUUGCACAAUGGGGGAACCCUGAUGCAGCGACGCCGCGUGAGUGAAGAAGUAUCUCGGUAUGUAAAGCUCUAUCAGCAGGGAAGAAAAUGACGGUACCUGACUAAGAAGCCCCGGCUAACUACGUGCCAGCAGCGGCGGUAAUACGUAGGGGGCAAGCGUUAUCCGGAAUUACUGGGUGUAAAGGGUGCGUAGGUGGUAUGGCAAGUCAGAAGUGAAAACCCAGGGCUUAACUCUGGGACUGCUUUUGAAACUGUCAGACUGGAGUGCAGGAGAGGUAAGCGGAAUUCCUAGUGUAGCGGUGAAAUGCGUAGAUAUUAGGAGGAACAUCAGUGGCGAAGGCGGCUUACUGGACUGAAACUGACACUGAGGCACGAAAGCGUGGGGAGCAAACAGGAUUAGAUACCCUGGUA
rnacentral:rRNA from 1 species